AACGAACGCUGGCGGCAGGCUUAACACAUGCAAGUCGAACGCAUCGCAAGAUGAGUGGCAGACGGGUGAGUAACGCGUGGGAACAUACCCUUUUCUACGGAAUAGCUCUGGGAAACUGGAAUUAAUACCGUAUACGCCCUACGGGGGAAAGAUUUAUCGGGGAAGGAUUGGCCCGCGUUGGAUUAGCUAGUUGGUGGGGUAAAGGCCUACCAAGGCGACGAUCAAUAGGUGGUCUGAGAGGAUGAUCAGCCACAUUGGGACUGAGACACGGCCCAGACUCCUACGAGAGGCAGCAGUGGGGAAUAUUGGACAAUGGGCGGAAGCCUGAUCCAGCCAUGCCGCGUGGGUGAUGAAGGUCUUAGGGUUGUAAAGCUCUUUCACCGAUGAAGAUAAUGACGGUAGUCGGAGAAGAAGCCCCGGCUAACUUCGUGCCAGCCGCCGCGGUAACAC
rnacentral:rRNA from 1 species